CAGAGGUCCCAAGCGUUGUUCGGAUUCAUUGGGCGUAAAGGGUGCGUAGGCGGCGUCAUAAGUCGGAUGUGAAAUCCCGGGGCUCAACCCUGGAACUGCAUUCGAUACUGUGGUGCUAGAGGACUCUAGAGGAAACUGGAAUUCACGGUGUAGCAGUGAAAUGCGUAGAUAUCGUGAGGAAGACCAGUGGCGAAGGCGGGUUUCUGGAGAGUUCCUGACGCUGAGGCACGAAGGCCAGGGGAGCAAACGG
rnacentral:rRNA from 1 species